rnacentral:misc_RNA from 1 species
GUGAAUCAUCAAAUUUUUGAACACAUAUUGCACUCACUGGUAUUCCGGUGAGUAUGCCUAUUUGAGGGUCAUUUGAAAUAAUAUAAAUUCCAAGAUUUCCAGGAAUUUAAAAUGGGUUGUCCAUUUUUUGUGGUAGCCUAAAAUCCAAGACAAGCUUAUUAUCUUGGGUUGCGUGAUACUUUCAGUUACCUCGUGACUUAACUAGGAAUCAUCGGGCGUGUUAUGACUUUUGCAAGAGACAAAAAAUUCCU